AGCCUCUCUGACCAUGCUGUGGAUACAGCUUAUUAUAGCUUUCCUGUUUAUUAAUCCUGGUUCUUAGUUACCAACUUCCCUGGAGCUGACCUCUUGCCUUACACUGCUACUGACUCUGGGAGAAUUCCUGAUGAGCAGCAAAGCCUUCGGACGUGGAAAACAGGUCUUUAUCUGGACAGCACAGGGAGUAGUAUGCAGGAUCUCAUACCUUAUGAUAGUCUAGAAGCUGAAGUGAAGAAGACCCUAUUCUCAGGAUUUCAGAUCCAAAAUAGUAUAAAAACCAAACAUAAAUCUGCUGUGGGAUGAGUCUGGGCAUAAAUAAAUAGUGAAAUGGGCUUGAAUUAAAACA
rnacentral:lncRNA from 1 species